rnacentral:rRNA from 1 species
UCCGUAGGUGAACCUGCGGAAGGAUCAUUACCGAGUGCUGGGCCCUCUGGGUCCAACCUCCCACCCGUGUCUAUUGUACCUUGUUGCUUCGGCGGGCCCGCCGUUUUCGAACGGCCGCCGGGGAGGCCUCGCGCCCCCGGGCCCGCGCCCGCCGAAGACCCCAACAUGAACGCUGUUCUGAAAGUAUGCAGUCUGAGUUUGAUUAUCAUAAUCAGUUAAAACUUUCAACAACGGAUCUCUUGGUUCCGGCAUCGAUGAAGAACGCAGCGAAAUGCGAUAAGUAAUGUGAAUUGCAGAAUUCAGUGAAUCAUCGAGUCUUUGAACGCACAUUGCGCCCCCUGGUAUUCCGGGGGGCAUGCCUGUCCGAGCGUCAUUGCUGCCCUCAAGCACGGCUUGUGUGUUGGGCCCCCGUCCCCGGUUCUCCCCGGGGACGGGCCCGAAAGGCAGCGGCGGCACCGCGUCCGAUCCUCGAGCGUAUGGGGCUUUGUCACCCGCUCUGUAGGCCCGGCCGGCGCCAGCCGACACCCCAACUUUAUUUUUCUAAGGUUGACCUCGGAUCAGGUAGGGAUACCCGCUGAACUUAAGCAUAUCAAUAAGCGGAGGA